rnacentral:rRNA from 1 species
CGCCAGGGAAUUACGAGCCUAGCUUAAAACCCAAAGGANUUGACGUGUCCCACCCCACUAGAGGAGCCUGUUCUAUAACCGAUAAUCCACGAUACACCCAACCAUKUCUUGCUUUUCAGCCUGUAUACCUCCGUCGCAAGCUUGCCGUCUGAACGCAUAACAGCAGGCCCAAUGGCCAACCGCCAAAACGUCAGGUCGAGGUGCAGCUAACGAAAUGGUAAGCAAUGGGCUACAAUUUCUAAACUAGAACAAACGAAACACUACAUGAAACAUAGUCAUGAAGGCGGAUUUAGCAGUAAAUAGGGAAUAGAGAGCCCCAUUUAACCCGGCCCUGGGACGUGUACAVACCGCCCGUCACCCUCUUCGACAGUACCCCCCCCCAAGCUCCCUAACCUAAACCAUACGCUAUAGAAGAGGCAAGUCGAAACAUGGUAAGUAUACUGGAAAGUGUACUUGGAAUAA